GCCUCCCAAAGCACUAGGAUUACAGGUGUGAGCCACCAUGCCCGGCAAUUUUAAACAAUUUUUAACUAAAACAUUUAAAAAUGAAAGGACCAAUGAACCAUACUGGCAAAAUGUUAUUUGUUGAAGCUGUGUGAUAGUUACAUGAGGGUUUAUGUUGCUAUUCUCUCUACUUUUCUAUAUGUUUGAUAUUAUCUAUAAUACAAAGUUAAAAAAAAAAUCACUUUUGGCCGGGCCCGGUGGCUCAUACCUGUAAUCCUAGCACUCUGGGAGGGCGAGGCAGGCGGAUCACUUGAGCUCAGGAGUUCAAGACCAGCCUGGCAACAUUGCGAAACCCCGUCUCUACAAAAAAAUACAAAAAUUGGCCAGGCAUGGUGGCACGUGCCUAUAGUCCCAGCUACUUGGGGGGCUGAGGCAGGAGAAUCGCUGGAACCCAGGAGGCGGAGGUUGCAGUGAGCCGAGAUCAUGCCACUGCACUCCAGCCUGGGCGAUAGAGGGAGACUCCAUCUCCAAUAAAUAAAUAAAUAAAUUACUAGUACAACCUUUCUAAAGGGCAAUCCAGGACCAUGCUUCAAAAUGUUUCAAUGUGUUUAACCUUUGAUCCAGCUGUUAUACUUUUAGAAAUUAAUUCCAAGGAAAUCAUCAAACAAUAAAAUAAAGAAGAGAAAUACUGCAGCAUUAUUUAUAACAAUGAAAAUUAUUUAUAACAAUGAAAAACUGGAAAUACCAUACCAUAGGGAUUGGUUAAAUAACUUAUGGCACAGCCAUGCAAUGUAAUACUAUACAGAUGUUAAAAGAAAUGAAGUCUACUUAUAUCUACAUGUAUAGACAUGAAAAGAUAAGAGAUGUCCAAUACAUUUUACAAAACAGUAUGUAUAAUGUGAUUCCAUUUAUGCUAAAAAAACAAAAACCCAAAUCAUUCUUCAUGUAUACAUAGUGACAGGAUAAAGCUUUCAUCUUCUAAAAUUCAAUAUUGUUUAUUUAUUUAAAAUGCUUUUAAAAUGGCGAAAUGUUGAUAAUUGUUAAAGCUGGGUAGUGGGUAAAUGGGGAUUUACUGCACUGUUCUCUUUACUUUUAUACACAAGUGAAAUUUCCUAAAAUAAAAAUUAUUAUUUUAUUAAACACC
rnacentral:lncRNA from 1 species